UAGUGGCGCACGGGUGCGUAACGCGUGGGAAUCUGCCCUUGGGUUCGGAAUAACAGCGAGAAAUUGCUGCUAAUACCGGAUGAUGUCGCGAGACCAAAGAUUUAUCGCCUGAGGAUGAGCCCGCGUUGGAUUAGGUAGUUGGUGGGGUAAAGGCCUACCAAGCCGACGAUCCAUAGCUGGUCUGAGAGGAUGAUCAGCCACACUGGGACUGAGACACGGCCCAGACUCC
rnacentral:rRNA from 1 species